UGGCUCUUUCUUUACUCUCUACUUUCAGUAUUGUGGGCUGAGCUGGUAACAGGAAGAAAGAGACGGCAGAAGCAGCGGAGUAGCAACAGCAACUGGGGUGUUGUUAGGACACGCUAUGAGAGGGAUAAGGCAGCAGCCAGUUUGACAGCUGAAGAGGAAGCAACUGAACAACUUGAGAGCAGCCCAGGCAGGAAGAAAUGCCAUGGAAGUAGGAAGACACUAGGAGAGGAUGAAGAGCUGAGGCAGAAGGACAAGGGAUAUAAAGAGCCAGAGAAGAGAAACUGCAGAUCUUGGUCCUAGAAGAGUUCCAGAGAGUUGUCAAGUCUUUUGGGACAAAGGUCUCAGACACCCCAGGUCAAGAGCUAGCUGCUGUCAAGAAGCUCCUACAGUGACUGGUGUUAUAGUUCUUGGGCUUAAGGUGUGACCGUCAUUGGCUUUUGACGGUGGACGGUGCUAUAACUCUUAGACACAGGCUAACAGGACCCUUGACCCUUAAACCUUGGCAGUUUCCUGGAACCCUUUUAAGGACCAGAACCUGCUGCAGCUUUCCCGUCUUUAGCGCUUGACAGACUUUGCGGUCUGCUCCUUGCCUGGUUACUCUCUGGAACUCUUCAGCCCGCUCUGGCUGCCGCCGCCGCCGCCAUCUUUACUGAAGGUCCUGCUCUGUCACUGCUCCCACGGUCUCCUCAUCAUGUCACCGGGGCUGCCUGCUGCGCCGGUGACGGAGAUCAAAGGCAGGCAAUAGCCUGAUGCCACAACAUCGAGGCAGCUCAGGAGGGUGACUUCCACUUUUCCAAAACGUGAGCCCAACCGCCUGAUUCUAAAGCCAGGAGGGGCGUUUGUAGACCCGUCAGGAUACAGCCCUCUCUGCAAAUGAAGGGUUGUGUUUGUACCGACUCGGGGAACUGUCAGCCAAGCAACUGGUCAGAUGAACUUCACGGCAGGCUGACGAUUUAAGACUCUUAGCAAACACUCUCAGGACACGUGGGCAGCUGCAGGAGACCACUAUGUGUCAGGCCGAUCUGCUCCAGACAACUGUCUCUAGCCUUGGAAAGCAGCACUUCAAAUAAGAUGAGCCUCAGUGAAUGCUAGAUAAUCCGGCUACUGUCUCCACUCAGGCCAGAAGAGGAGCCCUUCCCCAUCUUCAAAUCCUUAGCUCAUCACAUCGGCAAAGUCUCCUUUGCCAAGUAAGACGACAAAGUCAUCGGUUCCGGUGAUCAGGUAACAGACACCCUUGCAGCAUCGUUGUGCUGUCUGCCACAGGGAUAACGUCUGGUGAUGGUGACUCCAAAAGCCAGGCCUGUAAAGGACACGCAACCUGCACCUGUGGCCACAAGCUACAGUGAGGAGGAUCUGUACACAGGAAGUGUAUCUGUGAGUGUCAGGUGCCAGGAGCUCCCACAGCAAAGGCCUCCUCACCCAGAAAGACGUCCCUGAAAAACCUUUCAGCUGCUCUGAAGUACUCUCCAGCAGCUCCUUCAUCUCACUACAUGGCAGCAUUUACCACUCGGCCUUCCAAUAGUGUGUUUAUUGACCCACUUGGAUUGAGGGAUUUACAUCGUCCGUGUGAGCCCUACACAAAAGACGUGGGUAUUUAACUCGAAUGUUUCAAAAUAAGUGACUGAAAGAAUUGAAAUUCUGUGACAUUUACUAUUUCCCUCAAAAGCAGGACUUAACAAAUGUACAGAAUGUACAAUUUUGCUUGCAUAGUCAAUCCGGCCUCUGGGUGAUGUAUUUGAAACUGUGAAACGCUAAUACUUGACUGGCUAUUUGGCCUGAUUGUGUUAUGGGGCUUUUAUCAGAAAGAGUACAGAGAUUUCUUCUGUCUCAUAAAAAACGGAUUCGAGAUUA